GACGUAGGUGGCGAACGUUAUCCGGAAUUAUUGGGCGUAGAGGGUGCGUAGAUGGUGUAAUAAGUUAUCAGCGGUAAAUCGGGGCUCAACCUCGUGGAAGUCGGUAAUACUGUUAUACUUGAGUGCAGGAGAGGUUAACGGAACUCCAUGUGGAGCGGUAAAAUGCGUAGAUAUAUGGAAGAACACCAAUAACGGCGAAGGCAGUUAACUAUUCUGUUACUGACAUUGAGGCACGAAAGCGUGGGGAGCAAACAGG
rnacentral:rRNA from 1 species